rnacentral:rRNA from 1 species
UGGUGAGAUAAAAGCUCACCAAGGCGACGAUCAGUAACCGGCUUGAGAGAGCGAACGGUCACAUUGGAACUGAGACACGGUCCAAACUCCUACGGGAGGCAGCAGUGGGGAAUAUUGCACAAUGGAGGAAACUCUGAUGCAGCGACGCCGCGUGAGUGAUGAAGGUCUUCGGAUCGUAAAACUCUGUCCUUUGGGAAGAUAAUGACAGUACCAUUGGAGGAAGCCCCGGCUAACUACGUGCCAGCAGCCGCGGUAAUACGUAGGGGGCGAGCGUUGUCCGGAAUUAUUGGGCGUAAAGGGUACGUAGGCGGUUUAGAAAGUCAGAUGUUAAAGCGUGAGGCUCAACCUCAUAAAGCAUUUGAAACUUCUAGACUUGAGUAGUGGAGAGGAAAGUGGAAUUCCUAGUGUAGCGGUGAAAUGCGUAGAUAUUAGGAAGAAUACCAGUGGCGAAGGCGACUUUCUGGACACAAACUGACGCUGAGGUACGAAAGCGUGGGGAGCAAACAGGAUUAGAUACCCUGGUAGUCCACGCUGUAAACGAUGAAUGUUAGGUGUCGGGUGUCAAAGCUCGGUGCCGCAGUUAA